GAUGAAGAACGCAGCGAAAUGCGAUAAGUAAUGUGAAUUGCAGAAUUCAGUGAAUCAUCGAAUCUUUGAACGCACAUUGCGCCCGUCAGUAUUCUGGCGGGCACGCCUGUUCGAGCGUCAUUACGCCCCUCAAGUCCCCUGUGGACUUGGUGUUGGGGAUCGGCGAGGCUGGUUUUCCAGCACAGCCGUCCCUUAAAUUAAUUGGCGGUCUCGCCGUGGCCCUCCUCUGCGCAGUAGUAAAACACUCGCAACAGGAGCCCGGCGCGGUCCACUGCCGUAAAACCCCCCAACUUUUUAUAGUUGACCUCGAAUCAGGUAGGACUACCCGCUGAACUUAAGCAUAUCAAUAAGCGGAGGA
rnacentral:misc_RNA from 1 species